UGUAGCUUCCGAUAAACUCGUGCGUUUAUUUUUUCUUUUUUCCCCUAAUUUUGUUAACUGUACUCCUUCGUAACUGCGUGUACUUUUUAUCCGAAUAAGCAUUUAGGUAGAAAGAUUAUAUUUUCGCUGGAACAUUAGUAUUUUAUUCCUGUCGUGCUGAUCAUAAAGUUAACUAACUGAAAAGAUAUUACAUAUGAGAAAGUUUUGUACAUGGACUAGUCAAGAUUGCUUGUGGGAGCUAAGACAAUGUGGGAUACUCCUGCAGAAUUUACUUCUAUGCGAUGUGUACAAGAAGUUGCUGGGUGCUUCUUAUGCCAUCCAAGAAUCUGACAUGCUCUCUCAAGCCAGCAACAUCACUAAGGUUGUAAAUAGUGGAUAGCGCCAUAGCGGGCACAUAGCAGUUGGAGGGUCUUAUAAUGGAAAGCGGAUAGCGGGUGCCAUAGCGGAUGCUAUGAAUCCAUAGUGGGUUUCAUAAAGCAAACUUAAUAUGUUUAUGUUCCUUAUAAAAGAUACAUAUAAUUUUGAAGAAAAGACAAAAUUUUGAAGAAAACACAACUAAUCAUUCCUUUUUGUAGUAUUGCAAGCCUAUACAUAUUUAAUGUCAUUAUUUAUUGAGAUUAACUUUAAAAUAUUGCCAUUUAGCAAACCAGAAAGAUAUAAAACUCGAAAAUCUAUAAACCAUUAACAAUCUAAACAAUUUGUAAAUGAAUGUCAAAAAGGAUAUUUUAGGUAAAUGACUAAAAUCUUAUUCAUCAGUAAGACAUUCCUCUCCUUUGUUAAAGGUAUUUUGGUUAUCCAUUUGAGAACCCGACCUGAUUAGAUGUUUUAAUCCGUUUGCACUUUUUUAAGUUUUGGGCUCAUAGCGCCUACUUUCCGAACGCUUCAUUACGGCCGCUUUAGUGGGCCUUAUGCUGCUAAAGCAGCCUCUAUGUACCCGAUUCGCUAAAUUCUGCUUUAAAGAUUAUGACGUAACGGUAGCAUAUAAAAUCCGCUAUAGUGGCCGCUAUGGCGGGCAUAGCGGACGCUAUUUAAAACACUACACAUCACUAUUGCUCCUGUGACUUAUACAUACAGUUUAUGACUUAUACAUACAGUUUAGGCUUCUUUCAGGCAAAGAAAGCAGAAAAUAUGAAAAAGUUUUCAAACUUAAACAUAUAUCUGAAAAAUUAAAUCCUAAGGAGAAAGGAUUUUGAAGCUAGCGUGCUCGGUUUUCUCUAGGAAUAGUCCAGUAACUUAUAGCGCUGUCACAAUUGUCAGAUGCACACCAAAUGAUGAAUAAAUUUUAAACCUGAGGCUUGCGAAAUUGUUGUAUCGAGAGCAAUAUAGUGCAGUAAAGUGAAAGGGUACAGAGGGCUGAGGAAGUUCCUCAUGAACUCUGCUGCAGGUGAGAGUUUAUUAAAAUGACCAAAGAAGUCAUGUUAGUUGAGGUAAUUUUGGUCGUUACUUCGUAAGGCCGCUGUCUAUGAUUAGUUCCCUUCGCUCUUGCGAUAGCUAUGAUGCUGUUAUAUUUACUUUAGGUAGCAAUAUGAUGUGGCGAUUCUCAUGAAAAUGAACAAGCUGUUGCAUCUGAUGUUUCACACAUAGUUUUUGGAAGCUGAUCGAUUGCUUCUAAGAUGUUGAGGUCGUUUCUCUGGAUACUCUGCUUAUAGAUGUGCUACUACUAGUGAUAUAGCACUAUGACAUUUGUAUUCAAAUGCUCUCUGCUUUGAUUCUAAUAUAUUUGUAUAUAGAAGAACUAGUCUAUAGCAGUCGCAUAUGCAGUCAAAUACUCUCUGCUUUGAGUAUAUUUUACUAGUAGAUGGAAGGACCAGUCUAUAGCAUUUGCAUACAAGCUUCUCUCACAAAAUGUCAUCUUUUUGUCUAGUCAGUCGGACGCAGGAAAUGAAGUUGAUACCAAAUGAACAGCCUCUAUUUUUGGCAAAAUAUAGUGCUUCCACACACAACAUAAUAGAAAUGUUAUACUAGCAGCUACUCAGAAAUUUUUUCAUGAGAACUUAGAAGAUUUAUCAUCUAUGAUUGUUGAAUAAUCUGUAAUUAAAGACAUUCCAGAAAAAAAAAAUGUCAAAACUCGUAUUAAA